CCUACGGGAGGCAGCAGUGGGGAAUAUUGGACAAUGGGCGCAACUCUGACCCAGCAACGCCGCGUGAGUGAAGAAGGCUUUCGGGUUGUAAACCUCUAUUCUCAGGGACGAAGAAAGUGACGGUACCUGAGGAAUAAGCCACGGCUAACUACGUGCCAGCAGCCGCGGUAAUACGUGGGGGGCAAGCGUUAUCCGGAUUUACUGGGUGUAAAGGGAGUGUAGGCGGGACUGCAAGUCAGAUGUGAAAACCACGGGCUCAACCUGUGGACUGCAUUUGAAACUGUAGUUCUGGAGUGCUGGAGAGGCAGACGGAAUUCCUAGUGUAGCGGUGAAAUGCGUAGAUAUUAGGAGGAACACCAGUGGCGAAGGCGGUCUGCUGGACAGCAACUGACGCUGAGGCGCGAAAGCGUGGGGAGCAAACAGGAUUAGAUACCCUGGUAGUC
rnacentral:rRNA from 1 species